GACGAACGCUGGCGGCGUGCUUAACACAUGCAAGUCGAACGGAAAGGCCCUGCUUUUGUGGGGUGCUCGAGUGGCGAACGGGUGAGUAACACGUGAGUAACCUGCCCUUGACUUUGGGAUAACUUCAGGAAACUGGGGCUAAUACCGGAUAGGAGCUCCUGCUGCAUGGUGGGGGUUGGAAAGUUUCGGCGGUUGGGGGUGGACUCGCGGCUUAUCAGCUUGUUGGUGGGGUAGUGGCUUACCAAGGCUUUGACGGGUAGCCGGCCUGAGAGGGUGACCGGCCACAUUGGGACUGAGAUACGGCCCAGACUCCUACGGGAGGCAGCAGUGGGGAAUAUUGCACAAUGGGCGGAAGCCUGAUGCAGCAACGCCGCGUGCGGGAUGACGGCCUUCGGGUUGUAAACCGCUUUCGCCUGUGACGAAGCGUGAGUGACGGUAAUGGGUGAAGAAGCACCGGCUAACUACGUG
rnacentral:rRNA from 1 species